GAGAGCAUGGCUCAGUGGUAGAGUAUUUGCCUAGUAGGUAUGAGGCCCUGAGUUCAAACCCUAGUACUGUUU
rnacentral:tRNA from 1 species